CCGGGUUGCGGACAGUGUCUGGUGGGUAGUUUGACUGGGGCGGUCUCCUCCUAAAGAGUAACGGAGGAGCACGAAGGUUGGCUAAUCCUGGUCGGACAUCAGGAGGUUAGGGCAAUGGCAUAAGCCAGCUUGACUGCGAGCGUGACGGCGCGAGCAGGUGCGAAAGCAGGUCAUAGUGAUCCGGUGGUUCUGAAUGGAAGGGCCAUCGCUCAACGGAUAAA
rnacentral:rRNA from 1 species